rnacentral:lncRNA from 1 species
CUGCCAUGCUGGACUUUUUAAUUGACAACAUAUUUGUUGAAUUUGGAGGUUUGGUCUUCCAACAGACUAUUGGAAUCCCAAUAGGUACCAAUUGCGCUCCUCUACUUGCAGAUUUGUUUUGAUAUUUCUAUGAAGCAGAAUUUAUCCAAGGGCUUGUACAGAAAGGAGAAAAGAAAUUAGCCCAGUCUUUUAAUUUCACCUUUCGGUAUAUUGAUGAUGUACU